rnacentral:rRNA from 1 species
UUGAAGAGUUUGAUCAUGGCUCAGAUUGAACGCUGGCGGCAGGCCUAACACAUGCAAGUCGAACGGUAACAGGAAGCAGCUUGCUGCUUUGCUGACGAGUGGCGGACGGGUGAGUAAUGUCUGGGAAACUGCCUGAUGGAGGGGGAUAACUACUGGAAACGGUAGCUAAUACCGCAUAAUGUCGCAAGACCAAAGAGGGGGACCUUCGGGCCUCUUGCCAUCGGAUGUGCCCAGAUGGGAUUAGCUAGUAGGUGGGGUAAAGGCUCACCUAGGCGACGAUCCCUAGCUGGUCUGAGAGGAUGACCAGCCACACUGGAACUGAGACACGGUCCAGACUCCUACGGGAGGCAGCAGUGGGGAAUAUUGCACAAUGGGCGCAAGCCUGAUGCAGCCAUGCCGCGUGUAUGAAGAAGGCCUUCGGGUUGUAAAGUACUUUCAGCGGGGAGGAAGGGAGUAAAGUUAAUACCUUUGCUCAUUGACGUUACCCGCAGAAGAAGCACCGGCUAACUCCGUGCCAGCAGCCGCGGUAAUACGGAGGGUGCAAGCGUUAAUCGGAAUUACUGGGCGUAAAGCGCACGCAGGCGGUUUGUUAAGUCAGAUGUGAAAUCCCCGGGCUCAACCUGGGAACUGCAUCUGAUACUGGCAAGCUUGAGUCUCGUAGAGGGGGGUAGAAUUCCAGGUGUAGCGGUGAAAUGCGUAGAGAUCUGGAGGAAUACCGGUGGCGAAGGCGGCCCCCUGGACGAAGACUGACGCUCAGGUGCGAAAGCGUGGGGAGCAAACAGGAUUAGAUACCCUGGUAGUCCACGCCGUAAACGAUGUCGACUUGGAGGUUGUGCCCUUGAGGCGUGGCUUCCGGAGCUAACGCGUUAAGUCGACCGCCUGGGGAGUACGGCCGCAAGGUUAAAACUCAAAUGAAUUGACGGGGGCCCGCACAAGCGGUGGAGCAUGUGGUUUAAUUCGAUGCAACGCGAAGAACCUUACCUGGUCUUGACAUCCACGGAAGUUUUCAGAGAUGAGAAUGUGCCUUCGGGAACCGUGAGACAGGUGCUGCAUGGCUGUCGUCAGCUCGUGUUGUGAAAUGUUGGGUUAAGUCCCGCAACGAGCGCAACCCUUAUCCUUUGUUGCCAGCGGUCCGGCCGGGAACUCAAAGGAGACUGCCAGUGAUAAACUGGAGGAAGGUGGGGAUGACGUCAAGUCAUCAUGGCCCUUACGACCAGGGCUACACACGUGCUACAAUGGCGCAUACAAAGAGAAGCGACCUCGCGAGAGCAAGCGGACCUCAUAAAGUGCGUCGUAGUCCGGAUUGGAGUCUGCAACUCGACUCCAUGAAGUCGGAAUCGCUAGUAAUCGUGGAUCAGAAUGCCACGGUGAAUACGUUCCCGGGCCUUGUACACACCGCCCGUCACACCAUGGGAGUGGGUUGCAAAAGAAGUAGGUAGCUUAACCUUCGGGAGGGCGCUUACCACUUUGUGAUUCAUGACUGGGGUGAAGUCGUAACAAGGUAACCGUAGGGGAACCUGCGGUUGGAUCACCUCCUU